rnacentral:tRNA from 1 species
CAAGAAAUAGUUUAAGAAAAUAUUAGUUUUGGGGACUAAAGAUGGGAGGAUUACUUUCUUUUUUGA